GUGUCAGCCGCCGUGGUAAUACGAAGGGGGCUAGCGUUGCUCGGAAUCACUGGGCGUAAAGGGUGCGUAGGCGGGUCUUUAAGUCAGGGGUGAAAUCCUGGAGCUCAACUCCAGAACUGCCCUUGAUACUGAGGAUCUUGAGUUCGGGAGAGGUGAGUGGAACUGCGAGUGUAGAGGUGAAAUUCGUAGAUAUUCGCAAGAACACCAGUGGCGAAGGCGGCUCACUGGCCCGAUGCUGACGCUGAGGCACGAAAGCGUGGGGAGCAAACAGGAUUAGAAACCCCAGUAGUCC
rnacentral:rRNA from 1 species